CGCACCCUUCGGGGUGAGUGGCGCACGGCUGAGUAACACGUGGGAAUCUGUCUUCUAGUGGGGGAUAACGUCUCGAAAGAGACGCUAAUCCCGCAUACGCUCCGUAAGGAGGAAAGGCGCAAGUCGCUAGAAGAGGAGCCUGCGGCCCAUCAGGUAGUUGGAGAGGUAAUGGCUCACCAAGCCUAUGACGGGUAGCUGGUCUGUGAGGACAACCAGCCAGACUGGGACUGAGAACGGCCCAGACUCCUACGGGAGGCAGCAGUAAGGAAUUUUCGUCAAUGGGGGAAACCCUGAACGAGCAACGCCGCGUGGAGGAUGACGGUCUUCGGAUUGUAAACUCCUUUUGUGAGGGACGAUAAUGACGGUACCUCGCGAAUAAGCCCCGGCUAACUCUGUGCCAGCAGCCGCGGUAAUACAGAGGGGGCAAGCGUUGUCCGGAGUUACUGGGCGUAAAGCGCACGUAGGCGGUUCUGCAAGUGGUGUGUGAAAC
rnacentral:rRNA from 1 species